GCAGGGAGGUAGGGGAGGAAAUGGCUGUUGGUGUUUUACAUAAUUUGAUGUCAUAUUUGGGCCCCCAGAUUACAGGCUUAGAAGUGCCACCUGAGCAUUCGCCCCUGGGGAGAAUUUUACCGCCCCUGAAAAUCCCACUAAGACAAGCAUAUUUGCCAGCCUCCAGGGUACAACAGGCAGGUGGGGAGUGGGGUUGCGGAGGACCCCCUAUGCGAUGCCUAUCUACCCUUUUGGUGUCUCAUUUGGUGCCCAAACCCCCAAAUUCUAUCACAUGAGGACAUAACGUUAGAGAGAAAGAGAGAGAGAAAGUACUGCAGAAACAUAAGUAUAAUCUUCUCCAGGUUGUGGGGCCACAGACUAGGAGAAAAGUGACAGUUCCUCCCAGCCAGGAUGCAGUCAUGUGUCUCCACAGGUGUAUGGCUAGCUCCAGUCUGGGGUGAUGAACCGAUGUUCUGGUCGCUGGAGGAAAAGGAGCCUCAGAAACUUCAUCCUUCAGAGUGUCGGGCUUACAGCUCUGGAUAUCAUCCCGAGCUGCACACAGAAUCUUUCUGAUAAAAACGUGAUGUACGUUACAAAGUGGAAUCCUCAAAACAACCUUUUGAGAGAAGCACUGCCGUGAUGCCCAUCUUACAGACAGUGUGACCCAACCUAAAUCCAUGCCUUGGAUCCUGAGCCACCACCUCCAUCACAGUUCCUUAUAGGAGACACAGAGAGAGAGGCAGAGACAUAGGCAGAGGGAAGAGAAGCAGGCUCCAUGCAGG